rnacentral:tmRNA from 8 species
GGGGACGUUUAAAUUCGAUUGAAGCUCAUUAAUAAUAAUUGCUAACUCAGUUGGAUAUCUGAAUAAAAUAUCCACACAUAUAAGUGUCAAAAAUAUAUUGGCCAAAGUGGGGAACGCUUUAGUUAACGCUUUUGCUGUUCCUAGCUUGGCUCCUGUAGUAGCUUAAAACUACUGCCAUCUAGCCAUCAAAACCUGUGCGAUGAAUCUAGGUGUCAUUUAUUCGGGUGUAGAUUAACUAAUUGUUUGGGUGAGUUAAUUGAAAGUUUGCCAAACUUUAAAUUAGAUUUUUUGUUUGUUUUUUACUUCUAGUUUGAAAUUCUAAAACAAGCUAUGUUAGUAGAAAAUUAUUAUUACUAAUUCAAGACGUGGGUGUGAUCCCCACCGUCUCCACCA